rnacentral:rRNA from 1 species
AUGGUGCCUCCGUCCGACAUGCAACAGAACUUCAUCGACUUUCUCCUGGCAGGGGAGGGCACCGACGUGGUCUUCCAUGUGGGUGGUGAGACCUUCGCCGCCCAUCGAUGUGUUCUCGCGGCCCGGUCUACGGUCUUUAGAGCAGCUCUCUUUGGGCCCAUGAAGGAGGGCACAUCGACGGACACCACUGUGCAGAUAGAGGACAUGGACGCUGCGGUGUUCAAGGCGAUGCUUGGGUUCAUCUACAGUGACUCAUUUCCUACGCUGGUGCUGGAUGAAAACGAGGGCGACCUGCUGCAGCACCUGCUCGUUGCGGCGGACAGGUACAACCUCACAAGACUCCAGGCAAUGUGCGAGAGGGAGCUGUGCGAGCACAUCGAAGUGGGUACUGCGACCACCAUCCUAGCGCUUGCCGAGCAGCACGACUGCAAUGGGCUGAGGAAGGCGUGCUACAAAUUCCUCCAGUGUCCGGACAACCUGAGGGCGGUGGUUGACACGGACGGCUUUGAUCAAUUGUGCAGGGGUUGCCCCUCUCUUAUGAAAGACAUGAUCCUCUCUUAUGAGGGCGGUGGUAGGACUUCAUAUUAA